rnacentral:rRNA from 1 species
ACUGAACGCUGGCGGCAGGCUUAACACAUGCAAGUCGAGCGGAGAUGAGGUGCUUGCACCUUAUCUUAGCGGCGGACGGGUGAGUAAUGCUUAGGAAUCUGCCUAUUAGUGGGGGACAACAUUCCGAAAGGAAUGCUAAUACCGCAUACGUCCUACGGGAGAAAGCAGGGGAUCUUCGGACCUUGCGCUAAUAGAUGAGCCUAAGUCGGAUUAGCUAGUUGGUGGGGUAAAGGCCUACCAAGGCGACGAUCUGUAGCGGGUCUGAGAGGAUGAUCCGCCACACUGGGACUGAGACACGGCCCAGACUCCUACGGGAGGCAGCAGUGGGGAAUAUUGGACAAUGGGGGAACCCUGACCCAGCCAUGCCGCGUGUGUGAAGAAGGCCUUAUGGUUGUAAAGCACUUUAAGCGAGGAGGAGGCUACUGAGACUAAUACUCUUGGAUAGUGGACGUUACUCGCAGAAUAAGCACCGGCUAACUCUGUGCCAGCAGCCGCGGUAA